rnacentral:rRNA from 1 species
UACCAGCACCCCGAGUUGUCGGGACGAUUAUUGGGCCUAAAGCAUCCGUAGCCUGUUCUGCGAGUCCUCCGUUAAAUCCACCCGCUUAACGGAUGGGCUGCGGGGGAUACUGCAGAGCUAGGAGGCGGGAGAGGCAAACGGUACUCAGUGGGUAGGGGUAAAAUCCAUUGAUCUACUGAAGACCACCAGUGGCGAAGGCGGUUUGCCAGAACGCGCUCGACGGUGAGGGAUGAAAGCUGGGGGAGCAAACCGG